rnacentral:sRNA from 1 species
UGGUUUUGUUUUUUUUUUUUUUUUUUUUUUUUUUUUUUUUCAUGAUAUCUAUCUUCGACAAGUCAAUAUACCCGAUAGUUUUCAAAGAUAUAUGGUGUUGGGUCAAAUAUUCUAUCCAAUGUUUUAGAAUUAUACCUUUCCGAUCUCUACCAAAGUAACCUAAGUACAGUACAGUGGGUAUAAUUAUCGUAUAAAAAAUGCACCACAAUUGUUCAAAAUUCACCGAGACACCGUUACUGUAAUAACCUUUCAUUCUCAUAAAUCAAGAAGCUGAGCUCAUGUAGUCCUGCUUGUCAUUCCUGUCUUUUUCCGCUCCGUGGGGCUUCCCAUUAUCUUGCUGUGCCGUAUCUGACGGUGUUGUAUGUAUCUGUUCGCAAGUUAGCAAACGGAUGGAUAUACCCCUUUUCCAUGACGGGAUAUAGCGAAGCCCAUUGACCAAAGCAACUGGUACUCUGGAUCUAAUACCGCAGAACCUGGUCCCCUAUCCAGGAUAAACUAUGGUGAAGGCCGGACGAGAACCAAGGCAACUAAAUGGGGAAUAUUUUGAAUCCACAGAAAUAAAGUCGAAUACGCACCGCCUCAGCAAACCGAAUCCACUCACUAACCCCUUUAACGAAAGGGUCAUCAGCAGCGGGCAACUUUUCAUGGUCCCAGACCAUGAAGGCUGAGAAUGAACCUUGUUUAUCGAGUAUCGUGAAGGAUGUCCAAUCCUCACCAUCACCCUCACUCUCUUCAUCUUCAUUUUCAUUCUGAUCAAGGUCGUGGCUUUGAUCAUUCUUCUUGGUUCCGGAUUCCGAUGUUCCAUUUGUUUGACUCCACCUUAUCCGAUAAUGGUGACGAAAUUCUCGAUCGCAUUGGUAGUAGGGAGAAAGCCACAUACCUUCAUAUCCCUCCGGAAUUGGAACUCUUCGCCCCCUAAGCCUCCUGCCUCGGAAGUAUGCGGUUGCAGUGUCUGGGUGCAAUUGAGUUAGCUGAUGUUCACCAUAUCUGAUGAAGUCGAGUGGUCCAUAGAUAGGCAACAUUAGACAAGUCAAUAGGAAGCGGUCCAGAGAGGAUGUAUGAAAAUAAACCUCUUAUAAGAAUCCCAAAAAUUGGACCAGUGCAGAGCUCUUAGUGUAAUUAGACUACACCCGUCCGUCCAACGUAUAACGCACCAAAGAAGAACAGAAUCAAGAGGAAAACAAAAAGGAAACAAUAUCGCAUGAAAUGUCCUUCGUCUAACCAAACAAAGCAACGUCACCUCCAAACAUACCAGGGUUAUCCUCAUCAGCGACCGGAUUCCAGUAUCUGGUCGAGAUGUUGACCGGUCCAUCAUGAUGGAUCCGACACGGGAGAAAGUUUGGAGUUUCUGAGCAAUCCUCCUUAUAUGAAUCAGAAUUAUUCUUAUGUGGCCGUAUUGCAAACAUUUUGCGCCUUUUUAGUUUGGUGCGUGUGCGCGUGCUCGUGUGCGACUGUGUGGUUGAGUCGAAUGGAUGCCAGAAUUGACUGCGACAA